GAAAUCAUUGCCUAGCCUAGCUUUCCCACGGUAUUCGUUGACAUUCCCUAGAAGAAGAAUCGUAUAGUAUUGUAACUAUAACAACAGUGAAAUCUGUUGUUCUUUCUUUCUUUCCAGCAGAACAGAUACCAACAACCACUCAACUCAAACCCAAACUCAUACUCCAAGUCCACUCAAAUCAUGAGUUUGUGUAUAAUUCUCUCACUAACAAUAGCAGUCCUCUCCGUAGCAUUGUAUCCUCUGCUCAACUCCACUCAAGCUCCAUCAUCGUCUUCCUCCUCCUCCUCAUCGGUAGUUGCAGAUUUGAUGGUGACAAAUGGGACCAUCUACACCAGUGAUGCUUCUCUCCCCUUUGCUGAUUCCAUGGCCCUUAGCUCUGGCCGCCUUCUCCGUCUUGGCAACUUUUCCUCUCUUCAGGAUUUGGCAGGAUAUGGAACUGAAGUGAUCGAUUUGGAGGGAAAAGUUGUGGUUCCUGGAUUUAUUGAUUCCCAUGUGCACUUGAUUUUUGGAGGACUGCAGAUAGUGCGUGUGGAACUCCGAGGUGUGAACAAAAAAGAUGAAUUUGUCAGAAAGGUCAAGGGUGCAGUUGCAAAUCUUAAACAUGGCUCCUGGGUAUUGGGCGGUGGAUGGAAUAAUGAUAAUUGGGGAGGAGAAUUACCAAUGGCCUCUUGGAUUGAUGAUAUUACACGUCACAAUCCCGUCUGGCUGUCAAGGAUGGAUGGUCACAUGGGCUUGGCUAACUCAUUGGCACUAAAAAUUGCAGAGAUUAGUAAUUACACAGAAGAUCCAAAUGGUGGAGCUAUCAUGAGAACCACUGAUGGAGAGCCAACCGGGUUGCUGAUUGAUUCUGCAAUGAAGCUCAUUUUGUCAUGCGUCCCGGAGGUCUCAGUAGAUGAAAGGAGGGAAGCUUUGGUAAGAGCCAGCAAUCUUGCCUUGAUGAGAGGUGUGACAACAGUUGUAGAUUUUGGGACAUAUUUUGCUGGUGCAUCGGUAGAGCUUCCGUGGGAAGAUUUUUCAGAAGUGUAUAGAUGGGCUGACGUUUCUGGACAAUUGAAAAUCAGGGUUUGCUUAUUCUUUCCAAUGAAUACAUGGUCACGCCUACAAGAUCUUAUCCGUGAAAGUGGUCGUAAGCUGAGCCAAUGGCUUUAUUUGGGUGGCGUUAAGGCUUUUGCUGAUGGAUCUUUGGGAUCUAAUAGUGCACUCUUUUAUGAGCCAUAUGUUGAUGACCCUCACAAUAGUGGCCUACAAGUUGCAGAUUUUGAAAGUCUAUUAAACAUGACAGUUGCAUCGGACAGAUCUGGGCUUCAGGUUGCCAUUCAUGCUAUAGGUGAUAGAGCAAAUGAUUUGAUUCUGGAUAUGUACAAGUCAGUAGUUUCUACAAAUGGGAUGAGGGACAGAAGAUUUAGGAUUGAGCAUGCUCAGCAUUUGGCAGAUGGGACAGUAGCCAGAUUUGGUCAAGAAGGAAUUGUUGCUUCAGUGCAGCCAGAUCACUUACUGGAUGAUGCUGAUUCUGCAAUAAGAAAGCUUGGGGUAGAAAGGGCUCACAAAGGAUCUUAUCUAUUUCAGUCACUACUAGCUAGCAAGGCACAGCUGGUGUUUGGUUCUGAUUGGCCAUUUGCAGAUAUUGAUCCUGUAAAGAGUGUAAAGACAGCAAUGAAAAGAAUACCUCCUGGAUGGGAGAAUGCAUGGAUUUCAUCUGAAUGCAUCAAUUUGAGUGAUGCAUUAAACGCAACAUGGGUAUUACACUUGCCGAAGCUGAGAAGAGGCAUGCUGAGGUUGAAGCAUCCGACCCUCCGUUAUUCAAGAAGCCGAGGUCUGAGGGCGCUGAAGGCUCGAGUUCUUCUCACUCCAAGGAGCCCUGGUCCCUUGUGCUUAUGGUUGGGGAUCGUCCCAUGUCGGCUGAUGAUAGUGUGAUAGAUAGCAUCCAAGUCGGCGUUGCUCUCUCCACGGCUAUUCUCCUACCAGCCGAUAUGGUUCGAAUGUCCCAGAUCACUGAAUACAAGAACUUUGCGCUCAUGAUGCCAUUUUGUUCUGGCCAUUCAACAUGUUCAUUCUUUUGUAGUUAAAGCCGAGGAGGUGAAGAAGGAAUUAACGCGCAAGACCAAUGAGUCUACCAAACUUCUUUCUUCACUGAAUCGGGCCGAGGCGCAUGCUCGACAAUUUAUGGACCAGGCAAAGGCUACUUAGGCUGCUUAAACUCUAGUCGAAGAAAAGGUUGAAGUCGUAGAAGUUGUCGCCGAAGUCGCAAAUGCUAAGGCCAAAGAGGUUGAAGCUAAGACGGCCCAAGCCGAGGC